rnacentral:rRNA from 1 species
UAGGGAAUCUUGGACAAUGGGCGAAAGCCUGAUCCAGCCAUGCCGCGUGAGGGAUGAAGGUCUUCGGAUUGUAAACCUCUUUUCUGGGGGAAGAACUGCCAGCAGAGGAAAUGCUUCUGGUUUGACGGUACCUCAGGAAUAAGCAACGGCUAACUCCGUGCCAGCAGCCGCGGUAAUACGGAGGUUGCAAGCGUUGUUCGGAAUUACUGGGCGUAAAGGGGGCGCAGGCGGUUCGCCAAGUUGAAAGUGGAAGCCCGGGGCUCAACCCCGGAUUGUCUUUCAAUACUAGCGAACUUGAGUUUGGGAGAGGAAAGCGGAAUUCCGGGUGUAGCGGUGAAAUGCGUAGAUAUCCGGAGGAACACCGAUGGCGAAAGCAGCUUUCUGGCCCGAUACUGACGCUCAUGCCCGAAAGCGUGGGGAGCGAACAG